GAUGAAGAACGUAGCGAAAUGCGAUAAGUAAUGUGAAUUGCAGAAUUCAGUGAAUCAUCGAAUCUUUGAACGCACAUUGCGCCCGCCAGUAUUCUGGCGGGCAUGCCUGUUCGAGCGUCAUUUCAACCAUCAAGCCCCAGGCUUGUGUUGGAGCCCUGCGGCUGCCGCAGCCUCCCAAAACCAGUGGCGGGCUCGCUGUCACACCGAGUGCAGUAGUUUACUCUUCGCUCAGGGCGUGUGGCGGGUGCUAGCCGUAAAACCCCCAACUUCUCAAGGUUGACCUCGGAUCAGGUAGGAAUACCCGCUGAACUUAAGCAUAUCAAUAAGCGGAGGA
rnacentral:misc_RNA from 1 species